rnacentral:rRNA from 1 species
UGGCGGCCUUAGCGCGGUGGUCCCACCUGACCCCAUGCCGAACUCAGAAGUGAAACGCCGUAGCGCCGAUGGUAGUGUGGGGUCUCCCCAUGCGAGAGUAGGGAACUGCC